rnacentral:rRNA from 1 species
GGGCCCGCACAAGCGGAGGAACAUGUGGUUUAAUUCGAUGAUACGCGAGGAACCUUACCUGGGUUUAAAUGUAGGUUGCAUGAACGGGAAACUGUUCUUUCUUUCGGGACUACCUACAAGGUGCUGCAUGGUUGUCGUCAGCUCGUGCCGUGAGGUGUCGGGUUAAGUCCCAUAACGAGCGCAACCCCUAUCGUUAGUUGCCAUCAGGUCAUGCUGGGGACUCUAACGAGACUGCCGGUGUAAACCGUGAGGAAGGUGGGGAUGACGUCAAAUCAGCACGGCCCUUAUAUCCAGGGGCUACACACGUGUUACAAUGGUCGGUACAAAGGGCAGCUACCUGGUGACAGGAUGCUAAUCUCUAAAGCCGAUCACAGUUCGGAUCGAAGUCUGCAACUCGACUUCGUG